CCAUUUAAAAGUUCAAUUACAAAGCCCAAGUGUUUUUGGUUCAAUACAGAAGCACUACCCGUGUACCUGGUUACACCCAAAUACUUAAAACCCAGCAACCCACUUAUGCCCGUGACCCAAUUACAGUUAACCCAACUAAACAUUACACGGCAGUUUUAACCCAUCUACCAGGCUAGCCUAAAUUUAAAACAGCCCAAAAGGCCCAAAGGACUUAAGGGAAGCAGGAAACCCUAGGGUUUCCUAAACACUGUGGCGCCGCAAUAGGUUCUAGAGGAUUCGGGGAGCGCCUGUUCAAUCCUCAAAAUCGAGGCCGCCAUUAAUGCGCUGUCCCGAGGGCCUUCAAUGCGCUAUAAAGCCAUCUUUUGUAACCUGUAAGUAGGGGGAUCUUUUUGAAGAAAAAACAUAAAGAGAUAUUGAGAGAAAUAAAAACAUCAAAAGAGAGAUUAAAAAUCUCAGCGGCGUUUUUAAGAUCAAAGGUGAUUCUUUUUUCUUUUUUAUUUGCUCUCCUAUAUCAUUUUCAAGCAUAUACAAUAACGAAAAACAACAAAGAAGCAGUUUAUAUUUCACUUCUAAAUAACAGUUUCUAAAUCAAAAUAAACUUACCAUUUUCUUCUUUCUUUUAAGUUUUUUUUACGAAAUAACCACACAAAAAGAAAGUGGGAAGAUUUUACCGGCGAAAGGAGGAAUUUUUGGACCUCCGACCACCAUAUACGGUGGCGCGUAAGGCACGUGUGAAGGCCCGAUGACCAGAGCUGUGACAGCCCUUAGCCGGAGCUCAAAGGACCCUUCAGAGUUUUUUUGGUUUUUUUUUAAAG
rnacentral:lncRNA from 1 species